rnacentral:rRNA from 1 species
GACGAACGCUGGCGGCGUGCUUAACACAUGCAAGUCGAACGAAAAGAGGGAAAGAGCUUGCUCUUUCCGGAAUUGAGUGGCAAACGGGUGAGUAACACGUAAACAACCUGCCUUCAGGAUGGGGACAACAGACGGAAACGACUGCUAAUACCGAAUAAGUUCCAAGAGCCGCAUGGCCCAUGGAAGAAAAGGUGGCCUCUACCUGUAAGCUAUCGCCUGAAGAGGGGUUUGCGUCUGAUUAGCUGGUUGGAGGGGUAACGGCCCACCAAGGCGACGAUCAGUAGCCGGUCUGAGGGGAUGAACGGCCACACUGGAACUGAGACACGGUCCAGACUCCUACGGGAGGCAGCAGUGGGGAAUCUUCCGCAAUGGGCGAAAGCCUGACGGAGCAACGCCGCGUGAGUGAUGACGGCCUUCGGGUUGUAAAACUCUGUGAUCCGGGACGAAAAGGCAGAGUGCGAAGAACAAACUGCAUUGACGGUACCGGAAAAGCAAGCCACGGCUAACUACGUG